AAAAAGGGUGUUUGUCACUUAGAUGGCACAUGCGCCGCGAGGCGCGUGGGGUAUGGCUAUCAAGACAUACCCAACACGUAAUUUUUGUAUGUGAGAGGCAGUUGGUACCCUACAAGUACCGGCGCCUCU